AAGCUGCUAGAGGGAGCGGCGGGCAGCGGACGGCGGGAAAAGGAGACUUACCUCGGUAUUCCUCCAUACGCCCCCCUUGAUCAUAAUUCGAGGCAUCUUGGCGGCAGGGUGUCUCGGCAAGCAGCCGAGAGGAGCUUCAGAGAAGUAGUAACAGCGAUUGGGCCACCGGACUCAAAGCCGCCACUUCCUCCAAGCGCGACCUUCUGCUUUGAAGAUCUGCGCAAGCGCAAGGUGGGAGGGGGCGCAGAAUAGCAAGUCUCGCGAGAUAUUGGGUGGCUGAAAGGGAAAAAGUGUCUUGUGGAAGCUCAGCUGCAGGAAGACUAACACAAAACCAUCAAACCACUCUGGCCAAAGCGCCUUACGCCCCGCGCAUGUCCAAAACAGAAUGGAAGAAACUACGGCUCUCGCGAGAUAGCGGCGGUAGCGCUUGGCUGGGAACUUAGUGGUGGGAUUGAUCGUGACGUCACCGAGUGGCAGAGGGUGGGAACGUCACGCGUACGGAAUUUCAGCACAGUUGCUCCGAAGAAGGCUUUGUUAAUUUAUUAAUCUAGCCCUUUCAAGUAUUUCAGUAAUAGGAAUUUAUUCACAGAAUACUCAGGAAAAUCCAGUAGUUUAUUUAAGGCUCAGUUUCCUAACCUGUAAAAUAGAGAUCAUAGUAAUGCCAACCUCACAGGAUUGUCGUAAGGGCUAAAUGAGAUCAUAGACCCAGCACAGUAUCUGAUCCAUAAUAACUGCUGCAAAACAAUAGCAGCUAUUACUGCAAGGAGGGCAACGCCAACUUCACCCCGUCCCCAGGUGAUCCAGGCUUCUUCCAGAAACCUGCAGAAACGUCACGUCAGAGUUUUUAAUUCAUCGCCCAGUCUGGAUUAAUAAUGCCAUUGGUCUUCGAGAUUUUAACACUGGAGCAUAGAGGAGGUCAGUCUCUACUGACUGCUGAACAUCCAACACGUGACACCCAGGAGUUGUCUACCACCAUGUUUUGGACUAAGGGAAAAAAGCAGAAUUCAGAAAAAUGCAACAUCAUGGAAGUUCCAGGAUGUCUGAAACCAGAGCACUGUAGCCACAAACAUCAGAACACAAACACACUGUUCUCCAGGAUGGCCUGCUUGGCCAGCCUCCCCCACCAUACUACUGCAGCCUCACCAGCCAGAGUCACUGAAAUUAAAGCCUGUAAGAAGCUGUCAGAUGAAAAAAUCUGUUUCUCCCUGUUGAGAGUUGAAUUGUAUUCCCCCCAAAUAGAUAUGUUCAAGUCCUAACCCCUGCUACCUGUAAAUGUGACCUUAUUUGGAAAUAGAGUCUUUGCAGAUGUAAUCAAGUUAAAAUGAGAUCAUACUGGAGUAGGUUGUCCCUAAAUCCAAUGAGUAGUGUCCUUAUAAGUGGAGAAGAAAAAAGAUACAGACACACAGGGGGAAUAUCAUGGGAAGAAAGAGGCAGAGAUUGGAGUGAUGCAGCUCCAAGCCAAGGAAUGCCAAGGAUUCUGGCAGCCACCAGAAGCCAGGAGAAGGCAUGGAACACAUUCUCCCUCUGAGCCCCAAGAAGGAGCCAGCCCUGCUGACACUUUGAUUUUGGACUCCCAGCCUCCAGAACUGUAAGAGAAUACAUUUCUCUUGUUUUAAGCCACUUAGUUUAUUGUGCUUUCUUGUGGCAGCCCUAGGAAGCUAAUACACUCCUUUGUUAAUACAGCAGAUCCUUGAAUAACA